rnacentral:rRNA from 1 species
AUAAAUAUGAUUCUUUGAAUAACGUUUAGUGAAAAAAGAAAAGCUCAAGAGGAAAAUCGUUAUAAAGCGAAUUGUCUUGUUGGAAAACGUACUAAAAAAGACUGACUUUGCAUAGUGAAAAGUAAGCAGGAAAGCUUUCCCAUAGAGGGUGAAAGGCCCGUAAUUAUGCAAUGUUUUAUUUUUUGAUAUGUUUAAUCUUAGAAUUGUGCUUUUUAAAAUAAAAGCACGAAAACGUAUGAUAGAUUUCAUAUAAAGCUAAAUAUAUGUAGGAGACCGAUAGCAAACAAGUACCGUGAGGGAAAGAUGAAAUAGAACUCAGGAAUGAGCAAUUAAAAAGUACCUGAAAUCGUUAAGAUAAAACGGAUUAUAAUGGAAAAAUAGAAUGAGAAGGUAAGGAAUAUUUUCCUUUGGGGAAAUGUUCCUUUCUUCUUAUUUUAAAAGAAAAGAGAGUGAGAUAGGUAAUAAGACAGAACAAUUUUUGUGGAAUUAGGUAAUUUUAUCUUUUUCUAUAAUAACAAAAAUACGUGUUUUUAUUAAACUCAUCUCUGAAUGGGAAAAUUAUCUAACUUACUUAAUUAACAAUGGUAAAAAAUGAAUUCAUUUUUUACUUAUUAGGUCUUUUCUAAAAGUAACUAUUAUAACCCAUUCGUCUUGAAACACGAACCAAGGAGUCUAACAAAUGUGCAAGUAUGUGGAUGAAAUUUUUAUAAUGAAAAAAAAAUAACGCAUACUUUAAUGUAGUAAAAUAACAUUAAAAUUUAGUAGAAGAGAUCGCACGAGGGAAAUGAUAUGGGCGCUCUGCAUGCUAUACUAGUCAACAAUAUAAUGUAUUGAGUACGAGCAUGUUUGUUAGGACCCGAGAGGCUUUGAACUAUGCGUGACGAGAUCUAAGUCAGACGAAAGUCUGUUGGAAGAUUGAAUUGAUAUAGACGUGUGAAAGCGUUCUUACGAGUUACGUUUAGGGGUGAAAGACUAAUCGAAAAGCCUAUUAGCUGGUUAUUUUCGAAAGAUCUCUCAAGAUCGCUGGAGUUGUUUGUGAUAUAGUUUUUCUAAUGGAGACAAAUAUGAGAAAAAUCAGGGUAUUUUUUUAUACUCGACUUGAAAUGUACUCAAAGUCGCCAAUUAGUAAUAGGUACAAAAAGUACAUUUGGCAUUUUUAGCCUUAUAUGCUUAAAACAACAAAUAGGAUAACUCCAAGUGGGGCCAUUUUUGGUAAUCAAAAACUGCCGAUGAGGGAUGCACCUAACGCUUGGAUAAGGUGCCUAAAUAUUUGCUAAUUAGAUACCAUAAUAGGUGUUGGUUUAUAAUGACAGUAGGACGGUAAUCUGGGAAGUAGAAAACCGCUAAGGAAUGUGUAGCAACUCACCUACCGAAUUAACUAGCCCUGAAAAUGGAUGGCGCUAAAGCAAAUUACCGAUACCAAGCCAUAGAUACAUAUAAUCAGACAUAUGGUAUCAUAUAAUAAAUUUAUAUUGAACCUAAGUCAUGUUGCUAUGAGUAGAAAAUCGUGGGGUUUGUAUUGAAGCGAGAUACGUGAGUUCUUGUGGAACAUACUCUAGUGCAGAUCUUGGUGGAAGUAGCAAUUAUUCAAAUGAGAACUUUGAAGACUAAAGUGGAGAAGGGUUUCUUGUCAACUGUAAUAGUACAAGAGUUAGCCGUUCCUAAGAGAAAACUGAAUAGUGUUUUUGUGGGAAAUUUAACGCGUUCUCAGUACGCGUGUAUUGCAUCCCUAUCUCGAAAGGGAAACAGGUUGAUAUUCCUGUGCCAAUGUAUUUUGAGUAAUAUUAAAGAUGGUAACAUAUAUAUAAAUGAACUCCUUCACGUAGGCCUUACGCUCGGGGUGCGUUUUCUUUGCACUUUAACUCUAUAGCUAACCUUGGAAUCAAUUUACUUGGAGAAAAGGUUUGCCGAAACAAUUCAGGAAAACUAUUUAGUGUAACUUUACGUUUUGCUUUUUAGAUAUCCUGUUUUGUAGUAAAAGUAAUUCGUUUUUAUGAAUUAUCCGAAGUAGUAAGGACUACCCUUGAAAAGAGGAGGGAACAGCAAAUAGUAGAAAAAAAUGGUCUCGGUUAUAUCCUUGAUUUUGAACCUGCAUUUGUAUACUCUAAAUAUCAAUAAGAGCGUACCGAUCACCGCAUAAGGUCUCCAAGGUUAAUAGCCUCUGGUUAAAUAGGAUAAAGUAGGUAAGGGAAGUCGGCAAAAUAUAGAUCCGUAACUUCGGGAAAAGGAUUGGCUCUGAGAACAUUAGAAUAGAGAAGAAGGAAAAUGUUUAAAAAUAAAGAUUGGAUAUAUAUAAUUCUUGCAGAAUUCGUUUUCUUAUGGUUUAAUGUCUUUCCAUAAUUUGUUUUUCUUAUGUUUAACUUUCUCUUUAUUCGCCUUCAUUCGUAUUUUUGCGUUUCGGCGUAUUGUUUACUUUUGAUACUAAUAAUGUUAAAUCAGAACUGAAACGGACAAAGGGAAUCUUAAUGUUUAAUUAAAACAUAGCAUUGUGACAAAACCAUCACUGGUAUUGUAUACACAAUGUGAUUUCUGCCCAGUGCUUUGAAUGUCAACUUGAUGAAAUUCAAUAAAGCGAAGGUUAACGGCGGGAGUAACUAUGACUCUCUUAAGAUAACCAAAUGCUUCGUCAUUUAAUUUGUGACGAUGCAUGAACAGAUUAAAGAGAUUCCCACUGUCCCUACUUGCUAUCUAGCGAAACCACAACCAAGGAAACGGGCUUGGUAAAAUCAGCGGGGAAAGAAGACCCUGUUGAGCUUUACUCUAGUCUGGCUUUGUGAAACGACUUAAGAGGUGUAGUAUAAGUGGGAGUAAGAAAAUGAAAUACUUUUUUUACAACAGUGAAAUACCACUACUUUUAAAGUUGUUUUACUUAUCCAUUUAUAGGGAGAUAUAGAAUUCGUUUCGUAUACGAAAUGUUUUUAUAUUAUUAUGAAUUAAUAGGCGUUGCUAUAUAGUAUUCGCUUUUCUUCCAUCUGUAUGGAGACAUAGCCAGGUGGGGAGUUUGACUGGGGCGGUACAUCCGUUAAAAAAUAACGCAGAUGUCCAAAGACANNNNNNNNNNNNNNNNNNNNNNNNNNNNNNNNNNNNNNNNNNNNNNNNNNNNNNNNNNNNNNNNNGUGGGAGUAGAAAAUGAAAUAUGUUUUUACGACAGUGAAAUACCACUACUUUUAAAGUUGUUUUACUAAUCUGUUUAUAAGGAGAUAUAAAAGUAUGUUUUCCUUGCGGAAAAUUUUCAUACUGUUCUGUAUUUAUAAGCGGUUCUGCUUAGUAUUACGCUAGUAGUCUGCUUUGCUCUUUAUUUAUGGAGACAUAGCCAGGUGGGGAGUUGGAUUCGGGCCGUAUAUCUGUUUAAUAACGAAGAUGUACAAAGACAAGCUCAAAGAGUACAGAAAUCUCUUGUAGACUAAAAGUGGAAAAAGCUUGUUUAAUUUCUAUUUUCAUAAAAAGUAGAAAACGUGAAAGCGUGGCCUAUCAAUCCUUUAUGUUUGCAAAAUUUACGGAAUUUAUCUUCCUAUUUGUGCAUACUUAGAGGUGUUUGAAAAAGUUACCACAGGGAUAACUGGCUUGUGGCUGCCAAGCGUUCUUAGCGACGUAGCUUUUUGAUAUUUCGAUGUCAGUUCUUCCUAUCAUUGAGACGCAGAAGUCUCAAAGUGUCGGAUUGUUCACCCGCUAAUAGGGAACGUGAGCUGGGUUUAGACCGUCGUGAGACAGGUUAGUUUUACCCUACUGAUGAAUAUCAUUAUUCUUAUGUAUAUGUUGUAUUGUGACAGUAAUCCAACUUGGUACGAGAGGAUUAGUUGGUUCAGACAAUUGGUACAGCAAUUGGUUGACAAAACAGCGUUGCGAAGCUAAGUCUGUUGGUAAAUGGCUGAAAACCUCUUAAGCCAGAAACCAUGCUGAUUAAACAAUACUAUUUCGUUCUUUUUUGUUUUUUUUUACUAAUGUAAAAGAGAAAUAAUAUAUGUAUUUCUUUCGAAAUGCAUAAAUAAUCCUAAAACCUUUUUCUCCUAGGCUGUUGGUUCGUGAACUGUGUAUUUAUGAUGCAAAUUGUGAAUUUAUAGUUUUUGAGCUACUUAUGUUUGGGAACUUGGUUAUACUUAAUUUAACUACAAAAAAAGAAAUAAACACAAACUGUAGACGACUUAUAUUGCCUCAGGGUGCUAUAAACAUGAAAGUAAA